AUUGAACGCUGGCGGAAUGCUUUACACAUGCAAGUCGAACGGCAGCACGGACUUCGGUCUGGUGGCGAGUGACGAACGGGUGAGUAAUGUAUCGGAACGUGCCCAGUCGUGGGGGAUAACGUAGUGAAAAUUACGCUAAUACCGCAUACGAUCUAUGGAUGAAAGCGGGGGAUCGCAAGACCUCGCGCGAUUGGAGCGGCCGAUAUCAGAUUAGGUAGUUGGUGGGGUAAAGGCCCACCAAGCCAACGAUCUGUAGCUGGUCUGAGAGGACGACCAGCCACACUGGAACUGAGACACGGUCCAGACUCCUACGGGAGGCAGCAGUGGGGAAUUUUGGACAAUGGGCGAAAGCCUGAUCCAACCAUUCCGCGUGCAGGAUGAAGGCCCUCGGGUUGUAAACUGCUUUUGUACAGAACGAAAAGGUUACUACUAAUACUAGGAGCUCAUGACGGUACUGUAAGAAUAAGCACCGGCUAACUACGUGCCAGCCGCCGCGGUAA
rnacentral:rRNA from 1 species